rnacentral:rRNA from 1 species
ACAGCCGUACCAUGCUGAAUAUACCGGUUCUCGUUAGAUCACCGAAGUUAAGCAUCAUUGGGCGCGGUCAGUACUUGGGUGGGUGACCACCUGGGAACACCGCGUGCCGUU